rnacentral:misc_RNA from 1 species
CCCAAUGGCAACUGCAUUUACUAACAAGAUCCGCAAACUAAUGAGGUAAUAUCUGUUAGGAGAUUGGAGGGAGGCUUAUAUAAGAUGGACAACUCAACUUUUUCUUCCCAUGUGUCUAGCGUCCUGCAUACUGUCACUCAAUUACCUAAUAUUGUAGCUGAAAUUUGUAUUUUUCCUUAUCUUAAUAGUACUGAUAUAAAUAAAAGCCUCCUUGUUUCUAGUAAAGAGUGGCAUAAUAGGCUUGGG